UGCCAGCAGCCGCGGUAAUACGGAGGGGGCUAGCGUUGUUCGGAAUUACUGGGCGUAAAGGGCGUGUAGGCGGCGUAUUUAGUUGGGCGUGAAAGCCCCGGGCUCAACCUGGGAACUGCGCUCAAUACUGAUAUGCUAGAGUCCGGGAGAGGCGAGUGGAAUAUCCAGUGUAGAGGUGAAAUUCGUAGAUAUUGGAUGGAACACCUAUGGCGAAGGCAGCUCGCUGGACCGGAACUGACGCUGAGGCGCGAAAGCGUGGGGAGCAAACAGGAUUAGAUA
rnacentral:rRNA from 1 species